GACGAACGCUGGCGGCGUGCUUAACACAUGCAAGUCGAACGGACAGGCCCUGCUUUUGUGGGGUGCUCGAGUGGCGAACGGGUGAGUAACACGUGAGUAUCCUGCCCUUGACUUUGGGAUAACUUCAGGAAACUGGGGCUAAUACCGGAUAGGAGCUCCUGCUGCAUGGGGUGGGUUGGAAAGUUUCGGCGGUUGGGGAUGGACUCGCGGCUUAUCAGCUUGUUGGUGGGGUAGUGGCUUACCAAGGCUUUGACGGGUAGCCGGCCUGAGAGGGUGACCGGCCACAUUGGGACUGAGAUACGGCCCAGACUCCUACGGGAGGCAGCAGGGGGGAAUAUUGCACAAUGGGCGGAAGCCUGAUGCAGCAACGCCGCGUGCGGGAUGACGGCCUUCGGGUUGUAAACCGCUUUCGCCUGUGACGAAGCGUGAGUGACGGUAAUGGGUAAAGAAGCACCGGCUAACUACGUG
rnacentral:rRNA from 1 species